UACAGAGGGUGCGAGCGUUAAUCGGAAUACUGGGCGUAAAGCGUGCGCAGACGGUCAUGUAAGUCGGGUGUGAAAGCCCCGGGCUCAACCUGGGAAUUGCAUUCGAGACUGCAUGGCUAGGGUGCGGAAGAGGGAAGCGGAAUUUCCGGUGUAGCGGUGAAAUGCGUAGAUAUCGGAAGGAACACCAGUGGCGAAAAGCGGCUUCCUGGUCCAGCACCGACGUUCAGGCACGAAAGCGUGGGGAGCAAACAGG
rnacentral:rRNA from 1 species